rnacentral:lncRNA from 1 species
UCAGUAACUAAGAACUUGGUGCCCUGUGUCUUUUUGUCAGACUUGCCUCUUCCUGCCUACAACUGUUGCCAACUCUGGAACAGCUGAGCUGGAAUAAAGAAAUACCCCAGAGGACYGGAGAGCCCCUGUGGAUAGAUCUAUUCUUCUUUUCAGCCCGCACCUACCUCCCUGCUAGGGAAGAAAAGGUCUGCCCUCAGCACUUUCCCAAGAAGAUACAUCGUUCAUACCAGGAUGACUGUGAGUCUUCUUCAUCACUGACAGUUCCCAUCCCCCUCCUCACAAAGUUUUGAAGUCUUUCUCAGUCAAACCGCUGCAAGAAUUGUAGUAGUGGCAAAAUCAUACAUUUUUCCUUAACCUCCUUCCCUGCAACAGCCCAGCCAUUCUAAUUCAUCCCACUACAAUUCAUCCUGAGGCAAAGAUUCAGCAUGAAAAUUUGGUUUUUGCAAAGCUACAGGCAGUCCAAAACCACAUCUUACAGUGGAAAAUAUGGGGAUAAUUUUAGGUAUUAUCACUUGAAUUAAUUUCAUGAUGAUUACAUUCAUCUCCAAGGUAGGAAGAAACAAUUCUGUUUUUCUUUCCAUUCCUCACUAGCAAACCUGGAGAUUCAAUAAUGUCAUGCAACAUAUUGCAUUAUGACAGCAGAGUGCUGAUAUGUUCUGUACCAGCAUUUGUCAUUUUAGGUGUGGG